rnacentral:rRNA from 1 species
CGGCAACAGCUCAAAUUUGAAAUCUGGUGCGUCCCGCGCCCGAGUUGUAAUUUGUAGAGGAUGCUUCGGGGCAGCGGCCGGUCUAAGUUUCUUGGAACAGAACGUCACAGAGGGUGAGAAUCCCGUAUGUGAUCGGCUCGCACCCCGCACGUAGCUCCUUCGAC